GAGUUUGAUCCUGGCUCAGGACGAACGCUGGCGGCGCGCCUAACACAUGCAAGUCGAACGGAGCUAAGAGGAGCUUGCUUUUCUUAGCUUAGUGGCGAACGGGUGAGUAACGCGUGAGUAACCUGCCCUGGAGUGGGGGACAACAGUUGGAAACGACUGCUAAUACCGCAUAAGCCCACGAUCCGGCAUCGGAUUGAGGGAAAAGGAUUUAUUCGCUUCAGGAUGGACUCGCGUCCAAUUAGCUAGUUGGUGAGGUAACGGCCCACCAAGGCGACGAUUGGUAGCCGGACUGAGAGGUUGAACGGCCACAUUGGGACUGAGACACGGCCCAGACUCCUACGGGAGGCAGCAGUGGGGGAUAUUGCACAAUGGGGGAAACCCUGAUGCAGCGACGCCGCGUGGAGGAAGAAGGUUUUCGGAUUGUAAACUCCUGUCGUUAGGGACGAUAAUGACGGUACCUAACAAGAAAGCACCGGCUAACUACGUGCCAGCCGCCGCGGUAAUUC
rnacentral:rRNA from 1 species